rnacentral:sRNA from 1 species
AUCGAACAGGAACAACAGAGCAGGAGGAGCGGUUAUGUUUCUCGACAAUGUGGUGGUGGCUGGUGUUGUAACCGUUGGCCUGAUGCUGGUGUUCUUCGCAGGCUUCGGACUAUUCAUUUGGAAGGACUCGCAAAAACGCAAAUAAGGCAGAGGCCUUCCAAUAAAAAGAGCACGCAAGGCAUUUUGGGCGACUUCGGUCGCCCUUUUUUUUG